rnacentral:rRNA from 1 species
GAGUUUGAUCAUGGCUCAGAUUGAACGCUGGCGGCAUGCUUUACACAUGCAAGUCGAACGGUAACAGGGAGCUUGCUCCGCUGACGAGUGGCGAACGGGUGAGUAAUGCGUCGGAACGUGCCGAGUAGCGGGGGAUAACGCACCGAAAGGUGUGCUAAUACCGCAUACGAACUGAGGUUGAAAGUGGGGGACCUUCGGGCCUCACGCUAUUCGAGCGGCCGACGUCUGAUUAGCUAGUAGGUGAGGUAAAGGCUCACCUAGGCGACGAUCAGUAGCGGGUCUGAGAGGAUGAUCCGCCACACUGGGACUGAGACACGGCCCAGACUCCUACGGGAGGCAGCAGUGGGGAAUUUUGGACAAUGGGCGCAAGCCUGAUCCAGCCAUGC